rnacentral:rRNA from 1 species
GUAGAGGGUAACAACCCCGUAGUCGAAACUUCGUUCUCUCUUGAAUGUAUCCUGAGUACGGCGGAACACGUGAAAUUCCGUCGGAAUCUGGGAGGACCAUCUCCCAAGGCUAAAUACUCCCUAGUGAUCGAUAGUGAACCAGUACCGUGAGGGAAAGGUGAAAAGCACCCCGGAAGGGGAGUGAAAGAGAUCCUGAAACCGUGUGCCUACAAAUAGUCAGAGCCCGUUAAUGGGUGAUGGCGUGCCUUUUGUAGAAUGAACCGGCGAGUUACGAUCCCGUGCGAGGUUAAGCUGAAGAGGCGGAGCCGCAGCGAAAGCGAGUCUGAAUAGGGCGUUUAGUACGUGGUCGUAGACCCGAAACCAGGUGAUCUACCCAUGUCCAGGGUGAAGUUCAGGUAACACUGAAUGGAGGCCCGAACCCACGCACGUUGAAAAGUGCGGGGAUGAGGUGUGGGUAGCGGAGAAAUUCCAAUCGAACCUGGAGAUAGCUGGUUCUCCCCGAAAUAGCUUUAGGGCUAGCCUUAAGUGUAAGAGUCUUGGAGGUAGAGCACUGAUUGAACUAGGGGUCCUCAUCGGAUUACCGAAUUCAGUCAAACUCCGAAUGCCAAUGACUUANNNNNNNNNNGCGAGUGAUAAGAUCCGUAGUCAAGAGGGAAACAGCCCAGAUCGCCAGCUAAGGUCCCAAAGUGUGUAUUAAGUGGAAAAGGAUGUGGAGUUGCUUAGACAACUAGGAUGUUGGCUUAGAAGCAGCCACCAUUUAAAGAGUGCGUAAUAGCUCACUAGUCGAGUGACUCUGCGCCGAAAAUGUACCGGGGCUAAAUACACCACCGAAGCUGCGAAUUGAUACCAAUGGUAUCAGUGGUAGGGGAGCGUUCUAAGUGCAGUGAAGUCAGACCGGAAGGACUGGUGGAGCGCUUAGAAGUGAGAAUGCCGGUAUGAGUAGCGAAAGACGGGUGAGAAUCCCGUCCACCGAAUGCCUAAGGUUUCCUGAGGAAGGCUCGUCCGCUCAGGGUUAGUCAGGACCUAAGCCGAGGCCGACAGGCGUAGGCGAUGGACAACAGGUUGAUAUUCCUGUACCACCUCUUUAUCGUUUGAGCAAUGGAGGGACGCAGAAGGAUAGAAGAAGCGUGCGAUUGGUU